rnacentral:misc_RNA from 1 species
ACGAUGCGCCAGCUCAGCGGAACGAGUGUUUUAGGCUCAUCGCUUCACCAGUCACCACCCCGACAGAGACCGCCGCCGUUGUCAAGCGUGUUGGGUGCACCGAGUCCGGCAGCAGGCGAAUUCAGACGCCGCCUUACACUACGUGAGAGGUGAAGGGCGGACUAGGCAGCAGAGGCACUAGCGGGCCGAAGAAGAUCCUGGCAGCCCUCUCCGCGCCGAGGGGCAGCACCAGCCGCGAGAACCCUCAAAGAGCUCUGAAGGCAGGGCUGCCCGUCGAGUGGCCCGAUGAUCGGCCGUACAAGAGACGAUAGUGAGCUGCUCACAGGGGUGGAAGCUUGCCACGCGGGAAGACGACACGCCACAGAGCUGCCUUUUCUUCUGCUCGAGUGCAUAUGCCAACGUCGCUGUGUUUCACGUGCAUGCGGGCUGGCAGCUUCUCCGCUUGAUGGGCCUAAUCGUUUGCAUACGAUGCGCACGGCGAGCGUGCACUCCAGCCGACACACACCGCCUCCAGAACCUUUCAGGCUUAGACGUGGAAAGAGUAAUCCUUCGUUGGCAGGCUUAGGGAGGUCUCUCACACUCCCACGCAGCUGUGCCGGGCCGCGGCCCUCGGGCUGGAACGCGCGGAGGUGCUGCCUGUGGGGGGGGGGGGGGGAAGGGGAGGGGGCUCGAGGCCGCAGCCCCCCUAGCGAAGAAAUAAAUAUGUCGAGCGCGAGCGAGUCGCGAGACGACGCACGAGCAGCAGCAGGUCACACACGUUUUUUUUUUUCGUUCUUCAGUCCUCCACGCGUAGCCGGGAGAUCAGCGAAUUGUGUUCUGCGCAUGCCUCUUCUCUGCCGUGCAGCAUGCGGUCACUGCCACUGCACCUUCCUCCUCCCUCUCCUCCACCUCACCGUUACUCGGCG